GAGUACAUUAGGAAACUUUUUUAAGUUACUAAAUAGAUAAAAUAAAUAGAUAAAAAUGCAUGGAACUUGUGCCAGGUAUGCCAGUGUUUGAGUUUUGAAUGACAUAUAAGUGACAGCAGAGUGCAAAAUUAUUUGAUAAUUAUAAGAAUCCAUUUGUUGUUCAGAAACUGGAAUGAUUCCUUGGGUUUGAGCAUUUAGCUAUGACUUAACACAUAGAUGGUUCUUCUAACUCACUGACCUCUGGUUCCUUGAAUUCUCCUCUAGUGAUUUUGUUGUCCAUAGACCUCAGUCAGUCCAUGUACCUCAGGCAACUGAUAUUACCACUUUUUCAUUUUCUUUUAUCUUCUUGAUGUUUUCACUCCCUUCUUUAACCAGUAUAAAUUCCGUAGUCAGUCAUUAUAUAAACUCCUCUGCAUAUACUCUCAACUCCCAUGUGCUUCUUGUUUUAUCAUACUCAUGUGGCAAAAUUUCUCUUUUUUUUAAUUUAAUUUUUUUGUCUUUUUAGUGCCGCACCCAUGGCAUUUAAAGGUUCCCAGGCUAGGGGUUGAAUCUGAGCUGUAGUUGCCAGCCUACACCACAGAAAUGCUGGAUCCUUAACCCACUGAGCGAGGGUGGGGAUUGAACCUGCCUCCCCAUGGAUAUUAGUCAGAUGCGUUUCUGCUGAGCCAUAAUGGGAAGUCUUAAAUUUUUUUUUAAAGUUUUAUUGAAGUUAGUUAAUUUACAAGGCUGUGAUAAUUUCUGCUGUACAGCAAAGUGACCCAGUCAUACAUAUAUACAUAUACAUUCUCUCUCAGAUUCUUUUCACCCAUAGAUUAUUCACAGAUUACUGGCUAGCGUUCUCUGUGCUAUACAGCAGGUCCCCAUUGACCAGUCGUCCCAUAUACCUCAGUGUGCAUAUGCCAGUCCCAAACCCCUAGGCCUGGUUAAAUCUGUCUCUCCUACUCUAUACCUGUAUUUGUACAUCUGAACAUAGCUGAAAAACACAUGUAUGCAUAUGUGCACACAAACUCACAUCUGUGCUGAAUGAUCUUGAAUUCAUGUCCUUGAGCCUCAUUGGGAUCCUUAAUACUGCCAGGCAAUGUGUGUACCUAGUCCUCUCACUGAUAGAGAGGACUUUUCUAGUCCUCUUCUAGAUAGCUCUUUUAUACCAUUACCUUUCUCUUUAAAUCCAUGCCACCACCUUUCCUAUUCAGCUGAUGACCUUGCUUCCUAAGAAACUUCCUACUUCACUUAGAAAACUGAAGCUCUCUACCUGUGCAUUGUGCUCUCACUGCUGUCAGCAUAAACUGUCUGUGCAUCAAAGGUAAUCCCUUUAUUUGUACACCAAUCCUCCCCCCCCCAACUAUUCAAGGAUAUUGCUCCCAAGAAUCCCCCCCCCCAAUUUCCUACAUCACUGUUUUAUUUUCUAUUAGGUCAUUCAUCAGCAUAUAAAAGUGUUAUUUUUCCACUUUAAAAAAUACUGUUUCUUGACCCCACUUUCCUUGCCAGAUAUUGUCCCAGUUAUCUGCCUUCCUUUGUAGCAGAAAUUCUAGAAAGUUUUCUCUAUUCAGCUGUUUCUAAUUUCUUUCCUACUAUUUUCUCUCCUCUUAUUUUUUUAAUUGAGAUAUAAUUCACAUACCAUAAAAUUCACCACUUUAUGUGUAAGUUCGGUAGUUUUUAGUAUAUUCGAAAAGUUAUGCAUCUCUCACCACUAGUUACAAAACAUUUUCAUCAGCCCAUUUGAAGGCCUGUACCCCUUAGCACUCACUCACUGUUCCUUCCAUUCUCCAAUCUGUGGCUCUGCCUGUUCUCUUGAAAUCUGCCCAUAUCCCUAUGGAUCUGCUUUUUCUGGAAAUUUCAUUUAAAGGGGUCAUACAAUAUGUGACCUUUUGUGUCUAGCUUUUACUUAGCAUGUUUUCUGGGUUCACCAUAUUGUAACCUCUAUUAGUACUACAUUCUUUUUUUUUUUUUUUUUGGCCAAACACUAUUCCAUGAUGCAGAUUGCCACUUCCAGGGGUCCAAUCGGAGCUGUAGCUGCCAGCCUAUGCCAGAGCCACAGCAACCUGGGAUCUGAGCCACAUCUACAGCCUACACCACAGCUCACGGCAAUGCCAGAUUCUUAACCUACUGAACGAGGCCAGGGAUCGAACCUGCACCAGCAACCUCAUGGUUCCUAGUUGGAUUCAUUAACCACUGAGCCACGACGGGAAUUCCUACAUUCCUUUUUAUGGCUGAAUAAUAUUCCAUUGUAUAGAUGAGUACCACUUUUUGUUUAUCCAUCAGUUUUUGAACAUUUGAGUUGAUUCCACUUUUUGGCUGUUAUGAAAAACACUGAUAAUAAUAAUCAUAUUCAGGCUUUUGUGUGACCAUGUUUUUAGUUCUUUUGAGUGCAUAAGUAGGAGUAGAAUUGCAGGGUCAUAUGGUAACCUUAUGUUUAACAUUUUGAGGAACUAUCACACUUCCAAAAGGACUGCAUUUUACAUUCCCACCAGCAAUGUGUGAGGGUUCCAAUUUCUCCAUCUCAUUCUAGCUUAAGCCAGCUUGAUUUAAUCAGGCCUUUCCCCUACUUGACUGCAUUUGCCUUUGACAAGAUUAUCAGUAACAUCAAAGUACCAAAAUUCAAAGUCACUUCUCAGUUUUCACCAUAUGUAACCUAUAAACAGCAUUUGACAUAGUUUAUUACUCAAUUCCUCCUUUUUUGAUUUUGGCUUCCAGAAUACUACACAUUCUUUAUCCCUCCCUCUCCCCCCCCCCCCCCCCCCAUUUUAUUGGUCAGUCCUUCUCAGUUUCUUUUGUUGUUUCCUUUCCCCCUGCUCUUAAAAAUUGGAGUUGUUAUUGGGGAUUCUGUCUGCACUUACACAUUUUUUUUUUGGUGGGGGGACACAUGGGCAGCAUAUGGAAGUUCCCAGGCUAGGGAUUGAAUCGAAGCUUCAUCUCCACCUUACACCACAGACACAGCAACACCAGAUCUGAGCCGUGUCUGUGACCUUCAUACACCACAGCUCACAGCAGCGCCAGAUCCCCAACCUACUGAACGAGGCCAGGGAUUGAAUCCAUGCCCUCAUGGAUACUAGUUGGGUUCAUUACCACUGAGCCACAACAGGAACUCCCCAUAUCUUUCAAGACUAUCCUACCCUGGCUCCCAGGUUGAUUCUUUUUGAGAUCUCUUUUUUUGUACUUCAGAGAUAGAUAUCCAACUGCCUACUCUAGUUAGACAUCUUAAAUGGAACAUGUCCAAAACCAAACCUCUUUCCUUCUGUUCAUAUGCUCCACCUACAGGUCUCCUUGUCUCUGAUGAAGACAGUUUCAUCCUUCAGUUGUUCAGGCCCCAAACCAUGGCACUAACCUUACUUUCCCUUUCUCACAUGCCACAUUCAGUCUGCUAGGAAGUCCUCUUGGCCUCCUUACCUUUGGAGGAUACACAAAAUUGCAACACUUCUUAAGACCUCCACUGUUGCCAUCACCUUGGUCUGAUCAUCAUCUCUCACCUGGAUCUUUUCCUAGUCAGAUCCUGUGCCAUAUAUUACCUUUGCCUCCAACAGUCUAGCUCAACAUAGUAGCUGUAAUAAUCCUUCUUGAAUGUGCCAGAUUGUAUUUUCUGUCCAGACCCUACCCUGACUCCCUAUUUCACUCAGUCAUAGCCAAACAAAGUUCUAUUUCUUCUGACCCCAUUACUUCUCUGGCCUCAUCUUUUGUUCUCAUUGGUUCACUCUGUUCACCUCCUUGCUAUUUUUCAAACACACUAGGCAUGUUUUAGACUCAGGGCCUUUUCAUUUGCUGUCCUUUCACUUGAAAUAUUUUUCACUUCUUUCAGGUCUGCUCAAAACUUGUCAGUUAAGAUUUUUACUCUGCUUUCCCCCCCCCCCCCCCAUAGCACUUGACUGUAGUAAAUAUCAUUGACUUUUUUUUUGUCUUUUUUGUCUUUUUUGCUAUUUCUUUGGGCUGCUUCCGCGGCAUAUGGAGGUUCCCAGGCUAGGGGUCCAAUCGGAGCUGCAGCCCCCGGCUUACGCCAGAGCCACAGCAACUCGGGAUCUGAGCUGCGUCUGCAACCUACACCACAGCUCACGGCAACGCCGGAUCGUUAACCCACUGAGCAAGGGCAGGGGUCGAACCCGCGACCUCAUGGUUCCUAGUCGGAUUCGGUAAUCACUGCGCCACGACGGGAACUCCGACUUAUUUCUGAUGUUUAUGAUAUAUUGCUCUCCUUUGCAAACCCCUCUGCUAGCAUGAAGCUCUGUGAGGGCAGAGACUUGUUUUGUUCACUGGUGUGUCCUAAGUGUUUAGAAGAGGGGAUGUCACAUACUAGCUGCUGGAGAAGUAUUUGUAAAAUGAGGAAAUAAUGGAGAGUAUAUGGGGAAGGUGGGGUCUGAGGCAGCCUUGAAAAUUUUUGAUAAGCAGCAUUUUGGGGAGAACAGAACAGCUUGGAAUAUAUUUUUUCUCAUUCUCUUCUUUGUGCCUUUAGCCAAAUCUCCUUAAUCUUCCAAGGCAUAGGCAUUUGAAUUAGGAACUGAGUUUGAACGUGCUUCUUCUUUUGUAUACAAGCUGAAACAAGAUAUGUAGCCAUUCUCGAGUUUUUUUUUUUUUUUUUUUUUGUGCCUUUUAGGGGCCGCUCCUGUGACACAUGGAGGUUCCCAGGCUAGGGGUUGAAUCAGAGCUGUAGCUGCCGGCCUACGCCAGAGCCACAGCAACGCAAGAUCCAAGCCACGUCUGCAACCUACACCACAGCUCACAGCAACGCCGGAUCCUUAACCCCCUGAGCAAGGCCGGGAUCAAACCCGCAACCUCAUGUUUCCUAGUUGGAUUUGUUAACUACUGAGCCAUGACGGGAACUCCAUGUCCUUUUAGUGUUAAGUACAGACUUAGGGGAUAUACAUAGUGAAUACUCAGUGAAAGUUGCCUGAAAAAAAUGAAUAAAGAAUACAUGGCUGGAAUAAUUGGAAUUUUGGAGAGGAAAAGAAUUCAGUAAUCUGUCUGGAAUUAGAAAUGAAUGGUAUAUUGGAAAUAGUGGUGAUAGGGUGGGAUUAAGUCAGAUGGAAUAUGAUUGGAUUCUGUAGGUAAUAAAUAUAGUCCUUUUUAGUUCCUGAACUGGGAGAGGAUUAAUGAAAGCUGUUUGUUCUGUGAAUGAAGAAUUGUGUUUCUCUUUAAAGGUAUGCCCAGCUCUUAGAAAACAGUUACAAAAAAAAGAGUUGGGCCCAUGAUUGGACACAGAUUUGACAAAGCAGGGCCUGGUGUUUAUUUGGUUAGCUUUAUCUCUUACUUCUUAGUUUCUUCCUAAAUGGAGCUCACAUCUAUUUUAUAAAGAUUAGAACUAAUAGAACAAUGUGAGUAAUUUUUAUACUUAUUCUCUGCAUAUUUUAUUCUGUGGCUGUCCAAGAUUCAGAACUUUUAAAAUGUAUGUUGUAGUGUAUAAAUCAUGACAGGAAAUUUGGCUUCUGCCAGUGUAAACUGAUGUAGUAUCUCCAGAAUGGUGCAUGUGUGAGAGAGAGGGGGCGGGGCAGUGCAGGGGGAGAGGGAGAGAAGUAAAAAUAUAUUUGUAAAGUGGCCUGAACCUUCUUACCUCUGGAGGCUUAUACUACAGAGGAGAGAGGGAGGGGAGGUGGGGGGAGAAAGUCUUGUUUGGAUAAGAAGGGAAAAGAAUUACUUCAGAUAAACUUGGAAAUCUUUACAGAAAGGAAAA
ensembl:lncRNA